rnacentral:rRNA from 1 species
UACGUAGGGGGGCAAGCGUUGUCCGGAAUCAUUGGGCGUAAAGAGCGUGUAGGCGGUCCGGUAAGUCCGCUGUAAAAGUCAAGGGCUCAACCCUUGAAAGCCGGUGGAUACUGCCGGGCUAGAGUCCGGAAGAGGCGAGUGGAACUCCUGGUGUAGCGGUGAAAUGCGCAGAUAUCAGGAAGAACACCUACGGCGAAGGCAGCUCGCUGGGACGGAACUGACGCUAAGGCGCGAAAGCGUGGGGAGCGAACGAGG